UACGUAGGGUGCGAGCGUUGUCCGGAAUUAUUGGGCGUAAAGAGCUUGUAGGCGGUUUGUCGCGUCUGCUGUGAAAAUCCGGGGCUCAACCCCGGACUUGCAGUGGGUACGGGCAGACUAGAGUGUGGUAGGGGAGACUGGAAUUCCUGGUAUAGCGGUGAAAUGCGCAGAUAUCAGGAGGAACACCGAUGGCGAAGGCAGGUCUCUGGGCCACUACUGACGCUGAGACGCGAAAGCGUGGGGAGCAAACAGG
rnacentral:rRNA from 1 species